rnacentral:rRNA from 1 species
UACGUAGGGUGCAAGCGUUAAUCGGAAUUACUGGGCGUAAAGCGUGCGCAGGCGGUUUUGUAAGUCUGUCGUGAAAUCCCCCGGGCUCAACCUGGGAAUUGCGAUGGAGACUGCAAGGCUAGAAUCUGGCAGAGGGGGGGUAGAAUUCCACGUGUAGCAGUGAAAUGCGUAGAGAUGUGGAGGAACACCGAUGGCGAAGGCACUCUACUGGGCCAUGACUGACACUGAGAGACGAAAGCUAGGGGAGCAAAUGGG